rnacentral:tRNA from 1 species
GGCAUGGUGUAAUGGAUAACACAUCAGUCCGAUCUACUGAAGAUGCUGGUUCGUACCCAGCCGCCGAAU